rnacentral:piRNA from 1 species
UGCCAAACAAGUUUUCUUUCUGCUGGCCUC